CCUACGGGUGGCAGCAGUGAGGAAUAUUGGUCAAUGGGCUUACGCCUGAACCAGCCAAGUCGCGUGAGGGAAGACUGCCCUAUGGGUUGUAAACCUCUUUUGUCAGGGAGCAACGCCGGCUACGUGUAGCCGGACUGAGAGUACCUGAAGAAAAAGCAUCGGCUAACUCCGUGCAAGCAGCCGCGGUAAUACGGAGGAUGCGAGCGUUAUCCGGAUUUAUUGGGUUUAAAGGGUGCGUAGGCGGAAUGCCAAGUCAGCGGUAAAAUCGCGGGGCUCAACCUCGCUCCGCCGUUGAAACUGGCGUUCUUGAGUGGGCGAGAAGUAUGCGGAAUGCGUGGUGUAGCGGUGAAAUGCGUAGAUAUUAGGAGGAACAUCAGGGGCGAAGGCGACUUACUGGACUGUAACUGACACUGAGGCACGAAAGCGUGGGGAGCAAACAGGAUUAGAUACCCUGGUAGUC
rnacentral:rRNA from 1 species